rfam:Beta vulgaris subsp. vulgaris Bvchr3.sca003.con0009.1, whole genome shotgun sequence.
UUAAUGUUUCUUGCUCAAAUGAGUAUUCCAAUCACAGUAGCAAAGAUGGCUAAGCAGAAAAUACAGAAACAAUGGUUUAAACUAAUUUGUUCUUGUACAUCAACAAAAGUUUAUUUUUGAUAUUCCUUGCUUAGUGAAAAAUGCUGAUGAUUGAUUGAGAUGCUCAUUUGAGUAAGCAGUAUUAU